rnacentral:lncRNA from 1 species
CGGUGACCCCGAUGUCCCCCCCCCGGGGAGCCCUGAGUGUCCCCCUGGACCCCCGUGUGUCACCAGGACACUCCGUGCCACCCCUGCCCAUGUCCCCACGUCGCUGGCGCCCGUGUCCCCGUGCCCUUGUGCCUGUGCCCCUGUGUGUUGCUGACCCUUGUGUCCCCGUGCCCGUGUCCCCGCGUGUCCCCGUGCCUGUGUCCCUGCACCUGUCCCCACAUGUCCCAUGCCCGUGUCCCCGCGUGCCCUAUGCCCAUGUCCCCAUGCUGCUGACCCCCCUGUCCCUGUGUGUCCCCAUGCCCAUGCUGCUAACCCAUGUCCCCAUGUCCCCGCGCAUCCCCACACCUGUGUCCCCGUGUCUCCGUGUCCCCGUGUCCUUGCGCAUCCCCGCACCCGUGUCCCCGUGUCCCUGCACCCAUGUCCCCAUGUCCCCAUGCGUCCCCACGUUUCCCCGUGUCCCCCUGCGUCCCCGUGUGUCCCAAUGUCCCCGCGUGUCCCUGUGUCCCCCCCCAUGUCCCCGCAUGUCCCCGCGUCCCUGCGUGUCCCCAUGUCCCCGUGUCCCCGAUCGGGUCCCUCCCGCAGGAGCCGCGGGGGCUGGCGGCCCAGCCGCGUGUCCCCAUGUCCCCGCGUGUCCCCAUGUCCCCGUGUACCCAUGUCCCCGUGUCUCCAUGUGUGUCCCCGUGUCCCCACGCGUGUCCCCGUGUCCCUGAUCAGGUCCCUCCCGCAGGAGCCGCGGGGGCUGGCGGCCCAGCCGCGUGUCCCCAUGUCCCCGCGUGUCCCCGUGUCCCCAUGUGUGUCCCCGUGUCCCCACGCGUGUCCCCGUGUCACCGAGUGGGUCCCUCCCACAGGAGCCGCGGGGGCUGGCGGCCCAGCCGCGUGUCCCCAUGUCCCCGCGUGUCCCCGUGUCCCUUACGUCCCCCCCGUGUCCCUGCGCCUGUCGCCGUGUCACCGAGUGGGUCCCUCCCGCAGGAGCCGCGGGGGCUGGCGGCCCAGCCGCGUGUCCCCAUGUCCCCGCAUGUCCCCAUGUCCCCGUGUCCCUUACGUCCCCCCCGCGUCCCCACGCGUGUCCCCGUGUC